UACGGAGGAUGCAAGCGUUAUCCGGAAUGAUUGGGCGUAAAGCGUCCGCAGGUGGCUAUGUAAGUCUGCUGUUAAAGAGUGAGGCUCAACCUCAUAAGAGCAGUGGAAACUACAUGGCUAGAGUGCGUUCGGGGCAGAGGGAAUUCCUGGUGUAGCGGUGAAAUGCGCAGAUAUCAGGAAGAACACCCGUGGCGAAAGCGGCUCUCUGGGACGGUACUGACGCUGAGACGCGAAAGCGUGGGGAGCGAACAGG
rnacentral:rRNA from 1 species